GACGAACGCUGGCGGCGUGCUUAACACAUGCAAGUCGAACGGUGAAGCGCCUUCCUUUUUGGUGGGUGUGGAUGAGUGGCGAACGGGUGAGUAACACGUGAGUAACCUGCCCCCUUCUUCUGGAUAACCGCAUGAAAGUGUGGCUAAUACGGGAUAUUCUGGGUCUGUCGCAUGAUGGGUCUGGGAAAGAUAUUGUUUCGGUGGGGGAUGGGCUCGCGGCCUAUCAGCUUGUUGGUGGGGUGAUGGCCUACCAAGGCGGUGACGGGUAGCCGGCCUGGGAGGGUGGACGGUCACACUGGGACUGAGACACGGCCCAGACUCCUACGGGAGGCAGCAGUGGGGAAUAUUGCACAAUGGGCGCAAGCCUGAUGCAGCGACGCCGCGUGAGGGAUGGAGGCCUUCGGGUUGUGAACCUCUUUCGCCAGUGAAGCGGGCCUGCCUCGUUUGUGGGUGGGUUGACGGUAGCUGGAUAAGAAGCGCCGGCUAACUACGUG
rnacentral:rRNA from 1 species